rnacentral:misc_RNA from 1 species
GCACUUUAUAGUCCUUACUACCACCUUACACAAAAGAAAUAAUCAAAUUAAAGUGUGUAAAUAUUUCUAUUAACAUGUGAAACAUUAAACAUAAAUGAUAUAUAACCAUGGUCUGUUAGGCAUAAACUUCUGAAGCUUUCUUCAGGAGAUAAAGGAACUCAGAGAUCUUCUAAGACUAAAGUUUCAUAAAAGGAACAAGAAGUAAAACAGUUUUAUGGAGAGUGCCCAAACUCUUGCUAAUGUGACAUGAAACAUCAUUUCAUAUGGUAAUUCUAGUGAGA